rnacentral:rRNA from 1 species
UACGUAGGGUGCGAGCGUUGUCCGGAAUUACUGGGCGUAAAGAGCUCGUAGGUGGUUUGUCGCGUUGUUCGUGAAAUCCCACGGCUUAACUGUGGGCGUGCGGGCGAUACGGGCAGACUGGAGUACUGCAGGGGAGACUGGAAUUCCUGGUGUAGCGGUGGAAUGCGCAGAUAUCAGGAAGAACACCAAUGGCGAAAGCAGCUCUCUGGGACGGUACUGACGCUGAGACGCGAAAGCGUGGGGAGCGAACAGG